CUGGGGAUCUGCCCGAUAGAGGGGGAUAACCACUGGAAACGGUGGCUAAUACCGCAAAACGUCGCAAGACCAAAGAGGGGGACCUUCGGGCCUCUCACUAUCGGAUGAACCCAGAUGGGAUUAGCUAGUACGCGGGGUAAUGGCCCACCUAGGCCACGAUCCCUAUCUGGUCUGAGAGGAUGACCACCCACACUGGAACUGACACACGGUCCACACUCCUACGGGAGGCAGCAGUGGGGAAUAUUGCACAAUGGGCGCAAGCCUGAUGCACCCAUGCCGCGUGUAUGAAGAAGGCCUUCGGGUUGUAAAGUACUUUCAGCGGGGAGGAAGGCGGUGCGGUUAAUAACCGCGUCUAUUGACUUUACCCGCAAAAAAAGCACCGGCUAACUCCGUGCCAGCACCCGCGGUAAUACAGAGGGUGCAAGCGUUAAUC
rnacentral:rRNA from 1 species